AAGCCUUCUUGUUCAUUUCUGCUAGAGGGGAGCUCUCCCAGAUCAUCCGGAGGGCAAAUGAGCUUGGAGAGAAUUGUGGGUUUCUUGUUUGAAAGCGCCAUGACUGAAGGUUCCAGGGGCAGAGUCCAAUGCAUCGAAGCACCUCAAUAAUGUUGUUUUGACUGGCUGGUUGCAUCCUUGGAUGAAAGUCCAUCCAGAAAACCCACCUGUGAAGCAAGCCCCAUGAACCCGUCACCACCUUUUCUCUCUCCCUAACCACCACAUCCAUUUCAUACUUCCAUGCAUGAAGCCCCAUGCACAAGGCCACCUCCACCCAGCUCCAUUUUCAACCUCCAUACCCAUCUUACCCUCUUUCAUGCCCACGGUACCCAUUGUUGGCUGCCCAUUCCACUCAUCAUGCCCGUUUCCUUCAAUGAUCAUACCCGUUGCAGCACCUUCACCUCACCACCUUCCCUAACUGCACCACCAAUUCCCUUUCUCUCUCUAAGUCUUCAUCUCCCAACUCAUUUUCUUACUGAUAAUGGAGACACAUCCCUACACCAGCUUGAGAACCUUUGCAUGCGCUACACCCAAAACGGAGCACCAUGGUGUACGUUUGCUAAAAUUCCACAUUUCGGAAAGACAUCAU
rnacentral:lncRNA from 1 species